UACCAUAAAUCCUAGCUCGCAGAGUUUACAUGGUACAUACAUAUUCGCUCUUCAUUUGAUUAUUUUCUGUUCCUGGAUAACUAGCAUAUGUAUUUUCUACUGAACGUUUUGUUAAUCUAAGCAAAUAAAGUUCUUUGCAGUGCAAUUAUUGUAAUGUGGAUGAAAACGACAUUGCAGAGCAUCUUAGGGAACGUUUGAAGAGAGAACAAGAAGAGAAAGAGCAUAAGAAGAAGGAAAAGGCAGAGGCACACUUAUAUACCAUUAUAAAGGUUGCACGAGAUGACGACUUGAUGGAACAGAUAGGAAAGGAUAUCUAUUUUGAUCUCGUAGACCAUGAUAAAGUGAAAUCUUUCCGGAUUCAGAUUCAGAUGCCAUUUAAUCUUUUCAAGAAUCGUCAUACAUAUGAGAAGCCUUUAAAAAUCUACAAUUAGAGUGAUUUGGAGAUUGAGUUUUCUUUGCAUGGGCUCAUUCUGGCAACCUUGAGGGGCCCUAAUGCCAUCUGUAAGUUGCAGUUCAUUGAUCGAGGGGAAGCCACCUCUCAGUAUAUCAAACGCCUCGGUCUGUAUUACAGAUGCCUCGGUGAGCGUAAUCCGUGGAUGGUGUCGGUGAAGGGUUAUGGUGGAUUUUGUUAGCUGUAUAAUUCUUUCUUGUAGUGUUUAUGGAGGAUCGUUUUCUGAUGCGGUAUUUGAUUUUUCUUGUCGGCCACAACUUCACAACCCUCGUCAGGCUUUCACGUCUUCCGUUUUUCUCUUAUGGAGUUGGUUUCUUCUAUUGGCUGUAUGUGUUCUUCAGUACUCAACCUUAGUUGUAAGUUUAAAAAGCAGUACAUAAAUGAGAUUUUGGCUUUAGGGAUGUAUACACAGUAUAGUUGGGGUCCCCACCAUUUUUUUUUUCCUUUUGUUCACCUCUUGUUUAUUUAGGCAUGUCUAGUUUAUGGGGGAGUUUGUGGACUGGUAAUUUUAUCUUUUGAUUGUUAUUAAGCUCCCCUGCUUUCUUUCUUUCUUUCUUUCUUUCUUUCUUUCUUUCUGCUCUCUCUGUAAAAGAAGUUUGUCAGGUACAGCCUCGACGAGUCAUAAUGAGUAAAGAUUUUACAAUUUCUGUGCUUUGUAAGACUACUACCGCUGUGUUCAUCGGACCAAGGGUGUUUGGUGUAGUGGACUGGGUGAGUAGUGGAUUGUGUUCAUAUGUAAAAGAAGUUUUCUCAUAAGGAAGUUUUGCUGUUUAGUUGUAUUUGAUUUUGUUACAGUUGAUACAUCUCUUGGCUGGUCAUGUAUUCAGUUGUGAUUUUUUGGCUCCUGUUAUAAGAUGGAAUUUUUGUUUCU